rnacentral:rRNA from 1 species
AGAGUUUGAUCCUGGCUCAGGAUGAACGCUAGCGGCAGGCUUAACACAUGCAAGUCGAGGGGUAACAUUGUAGCUUGCUACAGAUGACGACCGGCGCACGGGUGCGUAACGCGUAUAGAAUCUGCCUUCUACAGAGGGAUAGCCUUUAGAAAUGAAGAUUAAUACCUCAUAACACUUUGGAAUGGCAUCGUUUUAAAGUUAAAGAUUUAUCGGUAGAAGAUGACUAUGCGUCCUAUUAGCUAGAUGGUAAGGUAACGGCUUACCAUGGCAACGAUAGGUAGGGGUCCUGAGAGGGAGAUCCCCCACACUGGUACUGAGACACGGACCAGACUCCUACGGGAGGCAGCAGUGAGGAAUAUUGGGCAAUGGAGGCAACUCUGACCCAGCCAUGCCGCGUGCAGGAAGACUGCCCUAUGGGUUGUAAACUGCUUUUAUACAGGAAGAAACGUACCUACGAGUAGGUAUUUGACGGUACUGUAAGAAUAAGGACCGGCUAACUCCGUGCCAGCAGCCGCGGUAAUAC